rnacentral:tRNA from 1 species
ACUUUCUUGUAUUCACAUUUUCAUUUUUGAAAAAUGACAGUUUUAUUAACUUAAAGAAUA